rnacentral:lncRNA from 1 species
ACAGAACCAGCCCAAACCAAAAUUCCCUACCCAAUCCCAUUCCCUUACCCUUAUCUUAAUUAAAAAACAAAACCUACAUCUACACAUAUACAAAAAAAAGAAUAACACUGAAAAAAUGGGGGGAAACUGCGCAGUUUUUCAGAAAACACACCCCUCGGAGAGUCACCUUCACCCUACCCCACCCCAAACGAUCCAUCUCCAACUCCUUAGAAGCAACCAUUCUUCAUCAGCUGGACAAAAACCAAACCAGCAACCUUUCUUCUUCUUCAACCCAUUUCCACCCUCUCCAUUUCGAAUCUAGUCCAGCCAUCCACCACCCAAACGAAGCUCCUCUGUCAGCGAUUUUAAACCAUUACUGAUGCGGCGGAAGGUGAUGGAUCUGGCAAUAAAAUUAGGAAAGCCACCAAACAAUAGCCAAAGAGCAAAAUCCAACACAAAACAGCCCUUGUGACGUCCGAAACCGUCGUCCAAGCUUAGUCGACUUGAAUCCGGUGUGAUCCGUUCAAAGCUUAUGAUUUGAGGUAUAUUCGAGGUCGUCGUUGAGUCUCUUCUGUCUAGUAUAUGUCGAAUCGACCAAAUUUCCAUUAGCAGAUCCGAGGUCGUCGUUGAGGUUCUGAUUCGGUCAGUUGGUUUCUUACUCUAGGAAUUAGUUUUCAUCUUUUUGUUGGAUUCAGAAGCUGGGUUUAGCUUCGUUUGGUUAUUUGUUGUUUCAUCAGGCAAUAAAAUAUUUCUCCAAUUAUUAGUUUGGGUAAUAGUCAUGAGUUUUCGGAUUCCUGUGAUAUGGACCAAACGUUUACAUCAGAGUGUUUCGAUUGUUUUUCUAUUUUUGUUGUCUUCUCAUCUAUUUUACUAUCUCAUUACAAUAGCCGUGAUGUUUCUUGUCACGCUGAUUUGGGUUGGACCAUGAUUUUUCAGUUUUAACUUGAUAUUGUUGUUGAUUGUUCAAUGCGUUGUGUAUUGGUUUGAUUUUUAGGAAAUUACUUUAGAAAUAUAGAACUGUAUUCUGGCAAAUGGUCUAAAAUCCAUCUUUGAUGAAUAACUUGUAUUGUAUGCUUACAACAAUAUUCUACGCAUAUAUCAAUUUGGUGGU